rnacentral:rRNA from 1 species
GACGAACGCUGGCGGCGUGCUUAACACAUGCGAGUCGAACGGAAAGGCCCUGCUUUUGUGGGGUGCUCGAGUGGCGAACGGGUGAGUAACACGUGAGUAACCUGCCCUUGACUUUGGGAUAACUUCAGGAAACUGGGGCUAAUACCGGAUAGGAGCUCCUGCUGCAUGGUGGGGGUUGGAAAGUUUCGGCGGUUGGGGAUGGACUCGCGGCUUAUCAGCUUGUUGGUGGGGUAGUGGCUACCAAGGCUUUGACGGGUAGCCGGCCUGAGAGGGUGACCGGCCACAUUGGGACUGAGAUACGGCCCAGACUCCUACGGGAGGCAGCAGUGGGGAAUAUUGCACAAUGGGCGGAAGCCUGAUGCAGCAACGCCGCGUGCGGGAUGACGGCCUUCGGGUUGUAAACCGCUUUCGCCUGUGACGAAGCGUGAGUGACGGUAAUGGGUAAAGAAGCACCGGCUAACUACGUG